UAUCCUAUACACAUCUAAAGUCAGCAUUUAUUGACUCUAGUCAAUAAAGACACACACGAAUUUUUGGUUAGUUGCUUUUCCAGACUCGUAGCCAGAACCCUCAAUAUUAACCUAGAUGUUGUUCAAGGGCUUUGACUUGGGAAGCUGGGAACACACUUCUUGCCAUAUUUGUAGCAUAAAGGUGUAAAAUUUAGAAAUUUAAUGAGAAAAUACUAAAAAAAAAAAGAUUUACAUUAGGAAAUGCAGGUAAGGCAGGAAAUGGAAAGUUGCAGCAAACAAAUCAGCUAAUAGAUGGAUCCAGUGAAGAACAAUGAAAAUUGAGGAGCUUAUAUACAAGAUUGGGUGGAAAUGGAGAAAGACCCAAGUGAACUAAUUAGAGGCAAAUGAGGAACAGCUGAGGCAGAAUGCAGGCAGGGGUAGAUUAACACAGGGAAGCAAAAUAAAGACUCCUACCCAUUACAUAUCAAAGGAAAAAAACUAAUAAUGAUCAAAGAGAAAUAAAUCCAAUGAAUAAAGAUCAGAAUGAGAAUAAACCAAAUUAAUAUGAACAAGGAAGUGAUCAAAAUACAAACACGGAAGGAAACCAAAAGCCAAACACCUCAGGAUCAUGACACAUCUAAACCAUGAUUGGCUGUGCUGGUUGCUGGGAGACCGAAGGAAGUUACAAUCUUUUCAGGCCGCAAGAGUCGAUAAACCUUCUAGUGACAGCAGGAUGUAGCAAUUUUGAAGCAUUUUAAUAGGUUAAAGGGGUCACAGCAGCUGGAAAGUGAUCUUAAUCUAGCCUAAAAGUAUGGACUGUUGAAGUUGAUUAAUUUGAGAAUCUAAAGCAAAAGAUGAGUGUUGACAUCACACAGCAGCAAAUUGUUUACAAAAGUAAUAAUGGAUGGAGCCAACUGGAGCCAGGAGAUUAUAGCAAGACAAAGAAAGCUAAUAAAAACAAAGCACAGCUGAUAGCAAUGGAGCAUUGACUGCAACUUCUGCAAAUUAGUCUUUUUAGAUGUCUAGUCAGAACCAGGAGUGGCGGGAUGUAUUUCAGUGACACAGGCUUAUUCCAUAAGUUCAUUAUUAUAAUUUUCAACUAUUGUUUAUAUCCGAUUUACUACAUCUGGCUUGUUCUGAUGCAGAAUUAUGCCGCAUGUUUCGGAUUUAAUACAAUGUGACCGUUUAGACUGCAGACGCUUUGAAAACAAUCAGAUAUAAAUCCACAUUAGUAUCACAUAUGAAAGUCCACAGGUCUUUUUCAGAAUUACACUCUUUAGAACGGUGUGAAGAGUCGGAUAUAAGUCGAAUAUGGGCAGAAAAAAAGCGGAUUUGUUUUCCAUUUGCUUGCUGUGUGAUUGAAGCCUAAGAUCUCCAAGUUUAGAUGUUAUAUUAUGCAUGAAAAAACUAACGGCUAUGCAGUAUUUUUUAAAUCUUUUGAAGUUUUCAAACUAUAUACUUCCAAGUAGUAAUAUCAAAGUUUCCCCUGUGAGCUGCAGUAACUUAAAGGAGAGCUUUUUAUCUCCCCAAAGACACUUUUAAAAGCAGCGUGCUAAUGAAAUGAAUCAUAAAGCUGGUGUUUAUUACCGAGGUAAUGCCUUUUCAUUUAGUUAAUGAAAACAUGUCUGAGGAGUUAUAAUUGUCAACCUGAUGAUUAGGAACACACAAAUGAGAUGCAUUCGCUCAGGUUGAUCUUCAGUAUGAAGGUAAUGAUUCCUGCCAGCAACUCUAGAAUGGACUCACAUCAAUGAAAAGCAUUUUUUCUUGUUCUUUUCCCCUUGUUUUUACCAUGGUGAUGAGCCUCCUCCGUAAACAGAAGGCUCAUUAGUUUAAUCCUGAGUGUAUUCAGCUUAGCAGGAAUUCAUAAAGACCCAAACAAUGCAUCGGUGCAUGCUAACAGCUUUCUGUCGGGACGACUCUCCCACAGCAUUUUAUCCCUUAAUGAGCCCUGAUCAGCCGCUGAGGAAAAGGUGAAAAACACAGAGCCGCAGCAGAGGAACAACUCUUCAAUGCAUUCAGACAGGUGGCUGAAAGUUCAAGCUGCAGGUCCUGAUGCUCAAUUGCUGACAUCCAAUGUUUUAUUUUUCUGCCUGGUCGUUCAUAUAACUUAUUCAAUGUGACUGCAAUCAGACAUCUGUGUGAACAGUUUAUGACCCCAAAGUGACCCGUAUGCAGCAGAAGAAGAAUGUUGACGACGCACAGCGGCGCAUUGUUUAAGCAAUAAUGGAUGGAGCUGUUUAUGGAUCAACUUUAUUCAGCCAUGGAAGCUGAAGGGGAACUUGUCAUAAGAUCAUAACAAGACAAAGAAAGAUUAUAAAAAGAAAGAACAACACAGCGUUGUCUGCAACUUCUGGAGAGAAGUUUGUUUGGAUGUCUAGUCAGAAUCAGAAGGGUUGGGAUUCUGAUGUCAUACAUUUCAGUAAACCAGAUUUCUUUCAUAUGUUUAUAAUUAUAGUUUUCAGUCACUGUUUACCUCCAGAUUUGCAGCACCUGUUUUUCUGAAUUAUGAUACAUGUCUGACAUCAAUGAUGUAAAAGUUAAAAAAAAAAAAUGCAACAUG